AGCAGUGAGGAAUAUUGGUCCAUAGCCUAACGGCUGAACCAGCAACUUGGAGGAAUGUAUAGCAAUAGCUACCUGCAUCAUCAUUUUCUCAUUUUCUUCUUCUUUUCUCAUUAUCAGAGAAAAAUCAGAAGAAAAGUAGAGAAAAGUAAAGAUGAUGCAAGAUCGACUAUGUCGAAUAAAAUUCUAGGUAGAAUUAUGAUAAUGACAUUGUCUGCCUAUGUGUCUUGACCAAAUUACGUGCCAGCAGUCGCGGUAAUACGUAGAAGACUAGUGUUAUUCAUGUUUAAUCGGUUUAAAGGGUACCUAGACGGUAAAUCAAGCUUUCAAAGAAAAAAAUAAAGAGAAUUAAAGGACUAAUUUACUAGAGUUACUUAUGAGGGGGUAUUAAAGUACUGCUGGUGUAGAGAUGAAAUUCUGUCAUACCUCUUUUCAAAAGAAAAAUGAUGGCACAGGUAUAGGCGAAGGCAUCCCCUUAUGUGAUAACUGACGUUGAGGGACGAAGGCUUUGUGUAGCGAACAGGAUUAGAUACCCCAGUAGUCGAAGCAGAAAAUGAUGAAUGUCAUAGAUUAGAUAUAUAAGUUUAUUCUAUAAAUGAAAGUGUAAGCAUUCCACCUCAUGAGUAAUUUGGCAACAUUGGAACUGAAAUCAUUAGACCGUUUCUGAAACCAGUAGUGAAGUAUGUUGUUUAAUUUGAUGAUCCGCAAAAAACCUUACCACAAUUUGAAUAUUUAUAUUUUUUAUUGUUUUCUUAUUAAUUUCUUUUACUUUUCUUCUGAAGAAGAAAAUGAGAAAAUUAAUAAAGAGGCAAUAAGAUAUAUUUACAAGCGUUGCACGGCUGUCUUCAGUUAAUGUCGCGAGACUUUGGUUAGUUCCAUUAAAUUAACGUAAACCCUUACUUUAUUUUUAUAUAGAGUAGUUCCCCGCUAUAUUGGAUAUGAUAACAGGGACUAAGACAA
rnacentral:rRNA from 1 species